UACGAAGGGGGCUAGCGUUGUUCGGAAUUACUGGGCGUAAAGGGCGCGUAGGCGGCCUUCUAAGUCGAACGUGAAAUCCCCGGGCUCAACCCGGGAACUGCGUCCGAUACUGGCAAGCUAGAGUGCGGUAGAGGAUGGUGGAAUUCCCGGUGUAGCGGUGAAAUGCGUAGAGAUCGGGAGGAACACCCGUGGCGAAGGCGGCCAUCUGGACCAGCACUGACGCUGAGGCACGAAAGCGUGGGGAGCAAACAGG
rnacentral:rRNA from 1 species